rnacentral:rRNA from 1 species
UACGGAGGGAGCUAGCGUUGUUCGGAAUUACUGGGCGUAAAGCGCACGUAGGCGGCGAUUCAAGUCAGAGGUGAAAGCCCGGGGCUCAACCCCGGAACUGCCUUUGAAACUAGAUUGCUAGAAUCCUGGAGAGGUUAGUGGAAUUCCGAGUGUAGAGGUGAAAUUCGUAGAUAUUCGCAAGAACACCAGUGGCGAAGGCGGCUCACUGGCCCGGAACUGACGCUGAGGUGCGAAAGCGUGGGGAGCGAACAGG